GGAAUAUUGCUCAAUGGGGGAAACCCUGAUGCAGCGACGCCGCGUCAGUGAGGAAGUAUUUCGGUACGUAAAGCUCUAUCAGCAGGGAAGAAAAUGACGGUGCCUGACUUAGAAGCCCCGGCUAACUACGCGCCAGCAGCCGCGGUAAUACGUAGGGGGCAAGCGUUAUCCGGAUUUACUGGGUGUAAAGGGAGCGUAGACGGCAGCGCAAGUCUGAAGUGAAAUCCCAUGGCUUAACCAUGGAACUGCUUUGGAAACUGUGCAGCUGGAGUGCAGGAGAGGUAAGCGGAAUUCCUAGUGUAGCGGUGAAAUGCGUAGAUAUUAGGAGGAACACCAGUGGCGAAGGCGGCUUACUGGACUGUAACUGACGUUGAGGCUCGAAAGCGUGGGGAGCAAA
rnacentral:rRNA from 1 species